ensembl:lncRNA
CCAUUCUUCACCACAACUCAGGUAUCUAUACUCAUUUCCCCAAUAAUUUCCUUGUUUACAAUGAGAGUAUAAACCUGGAAAUUUAGCCAUCAGGACUUGAGCUUUGUAGACAUUGUCAGUUAAAAUGCCCAAAACGAUCAUAUUUAAAGAUUUGUUACCAUUAUCUUUAUUCAUUUUUCCUCUCAUUGGCUGCCAAUAGUUGAGGCACCUUUUGGCAUUGGAGGGCAGUGGCCAGAGAGAACACUUGUGAAUAUGGAGACCAAUAUCAGCAAAGAAGCAGAGGCUGUUGACUACCUGCAAAAAAAUGGAGUGAACACAGUUCAGGAAUUGAGUCAUGUGAGAAGUCUGUGGGGUAGUGGACCAAGCCAUCAGAACUGGACCUUUUUCAAGGUGAUUAAUUCAGCUUUCUGAACAGAAGUCCCAGGUAAUAAGGUCAAGACCCAUAUUUUGGAAUCAAGAACCACCACCACCACUACACCUGCAUUCCUGGUCCCACCUCUCAUGAAGCCAUUCCUAUCCAUAGGAUGAGUCACGUCUAUAUUUGAUCUGAGGAUGUCCACUAAGUCUGGUCUCAGAUUCUGGACAUGUGUUCAGCACUAUUGAGUUCUAAUGCAUGACAUCCAGGUCUGGGUAUGGAAGCAGAGUAGCCAGUUCAGUGCAGAGGCAGGG